GCUGCUGGGUUGCCAGCGGAGUCUCGCUUGGGGAGCUACGUAGGGCAGAGAAGUCAUGGCUUCUCCGUCCAAAGGCAAUGACCUGUUUUCGUCUGAUGAGGAGGGCCUGGCGAUGGUGGCUGGGCCGGGCCCUGGGCCUGGGGGAGCGGAGGGGGCCACCGAGGAGUGCCGCGUCAAGGUCUCCAGCCUGCCCUUCAGCGUGGAGGCGCUCAUGUCCGACAAGAAGCCGCCCAAAGAGGCGUCCCCACUGCCAGCCGAAAGCGCCUCCGCCGGGGCCACUCUGCGGCCACUGCUACUGCCCGGACACGGCGCCCGGGAAGCCCACAGCCCUGGGCUGCUGGUCAAGCCCUUCGAGACCGCCUCGGUCAAGUCGGAAAACUCAGAAGACGGAGCCGCAUGGAUGCAGGAACCCGGCAGAUGCUCGCCGCCGCCAAGACACAUGAGCCCCACCACCUGCACCCUGCGGAAGCACAAGACCAAUCCGAAGCCAAGAACGCCCUUUACCACGUCCCGGCUCCUGGCUCUGGAGCGCAAGUUCCGCCAGAAACAGUACCUCUCCAUUGCAGAGCGUGCAGAGUUCUCCAGCUCUCUGAACCUCACAGAGACCCAGGUCAAAAUCUGGUUCCAGAACCGAAGGGCCAAGGCGAAAAGACUGCAGGAGGCAGAACUAGAAAAGCUGAAAAUGGCUGCAAAACCUAUGCUGCCCUCUGGCUUCAGCCUCCCUUUCCCCGUCAACAAGCAGCAUCCAUAUAUGGAGCCUACCCUUUCCAUAGACCUGUGCUCCCCAUCCCGCCCGUCGGACUCUAUGCGACUCCAGUCGGAUAUGGCAUGUACCAUCUAUCCUAAGGAAGACCAGCUCCAUAGACUCCGUUGAUGGAUGUUUGUUUAAAUGGGUCCCC